GAUGAACGCUGGCGGCGUGCCUAAUACAUGCAAGUCGAGCGAACAGACGAGGAGCUUGCUCCUCUGACGUUAGCGGCGGACGGGUGUGUAACACGUGGAUAACCUACCUAUAAGACUGGGAUAACUUCGGGAAACCGGAGCUAAUACCGGAUAACAUGUUGAACCGCAUGGUUCAACAGUGAAAGACGGUCUUGCUGUCACUUAUAGAUGGAUCCGCGCCGCAUUAGCUAGUUGGUAAGGUAACGGCUUACCAAGGCAACGAUGCGUAGCCGACCUGAGAGGGUGAUCGGCCACACUGGAACUGAGACACGGUCCAGACUCCUACGGGAGGCAGCAGUAGGGAAUCUUCCGCAAUGGGCGAAAGCCUGACGGAGCAACGCCGCGUGAGUGAAGAAGGUCUUCGGAUCGUAAAACUCUGUUAUUAGGGAAGAACAAAUGUGUAAGUAACUAUGCACGUCUUGACGGUACCUAAUCAGAAAGCCACGGCUAACUACGUG
rnacentral:rRNA from 1 species